AUGCCCAUAAAUGAAAACUUACAACUGAGAAAACAGAAAUCUGGCUAUGUCAUCCAAAUCAUUCCACUGGACCUUGCUGCCUCUCAGAAUUCAGUAACACAGCUCCUCUCUGAAGAGACUAACAAUAGUGCAUUCAUCAGAAGAGCUCCAGUUGGAGCCCAGGAAGAGACAACAGAAGGCUGGGACCAGGCGGGCUGGCUAGAGAGUCACUGGAAAACCAAACCAAAUGGAGAAGAAGGACCACAUUUUCAGAGUUUUAAUAUCAUCUUUGGAUUCUAAUUGGAUCUACUUUGCUUACAAUUCUAAUCAUUUGGGUCAGUCAUUUUCAUUUUGAGCUGAGAUAGAUAAUUGUAUUGUGAAGUAUAUUGUAGUAAUUGAUAUUGUGUAAUUGUAAUUGUGAAGAUAGUAAUUGUAUUGUGAAGCUUCUCUGUACUCAUCUGUAAAAUGGAAAUAAAGCUGAUCACAUAGAAUAAAGGUCA
rnacentral:lncRNA from 1 species